AUUGGUACCAUAGAGACUGUUCCAAUCAAAUUCCCCAAUUUGGGAAAAGUUCUAUGGAAUACAUUUGGUAGGAUUACAAGAAGAAACAAUUUAUUGGAUACAGGUCCAAUCAGUGAUAGAAUUGGUGACAAUAAUACAUUUCCUUCAGAACCUGCAGUUUACCUCUUUAUGAUUUUUUUUUUCCAAGGAAUUUAGGACAUAAACCACUAAAUAAAAUUAAUUAUGUAAUAGGUGCUUUCUUGUGUUUGAGAUGUUUGUUAUAUCCCCAUAUACACCCUGUUCCAAAUUAUUAUGCAAAUUAUAUUUUUCUCAUUUACCUAAAUAAUUAAUGUAAAUAACAG